rnacentral:rRNA from 1 species
GACGAACCGUGCGAACGUUGUUCGGAAUCACUGGGCUUAAAGGGCGCGUAGGCGGGCGGCCGCGUCCGGGGUGAAAUCCCACGGCUCAACCGGGGAACGGCCUCGGAUACGGGCGGCCUCGAGGGGGGUAGGGGCAUCUGGAACUGUGAGUGGAGCGGUGAAAUGCGUUGAUAUUCACAGGAACUCCGGUGGCGAAGGCGAGGUGCUGGACCCCAUCUGACGCUGAGGCGCGAAAGCCAGGGGAGCGAACGGG